AUUGAACGCUGGCGGCAGGCCCAACACAUGCAAGUCGAGCGGAUGAAGGGAGCUUGCUCCUGGAUUCAGCGGCGGACGGGUGAGUAAUGCCUAGGAAUCUGCCUGGUAGUGGGGGAUAACGUCCGGAAACGGGCGCUAAUACCGCAUACGUCCUGAGGGAGAAAGUGGGGGAUCUUCGGACCUCACGCUAUCAGAUGAGCCUAGGUCGGAUUAGCUAGUUGGUGGGGUAAAGGCCUACCAAGGCGACGAUCCGUAACUGGUCUGAGAGGAUGAUCAGUCACACUGGAACUGAGACACGGUCCAGACUCCUACGGGAGGCAGCAGUGGGGAAUAUUGGACAAAGGGCGAAAGCCUGAUCCAGCCAUGCCGCGUGUGUGAAGAAGGUCUUCGGAUUGUAAAGCACUUUUAGUUGGGAGGAAGGGCAGUAAGUUAAUACCUUGCUGUUUUGACGUUACCAACAGAAUAAGCACCGGCUAACUUCGUG
rnacentral:rRNA from 1 species